GCGUCCAUAGCUCAAUCGGUAGAGCAGAUGGCUCUUAACCAUAAGGUUCCAGGUUCGAUUCCUGGUGGACGCA
rnacentral:tRNA from 1 species